rnacentral:rRNA from 1 species
UGGGGAAUUUUGGACAAUAGGCGAAAGCCUGAUCCAGCAAUGCCGCGUGUGUGAAGAAGGCCUUCGGGUUGUAAAGCACUUUUGUCCGGAAAGAAAUCCUUGGCUCUAAUACAGUCGGGGGAUGACGGUACCGGAAGAAUAAGCACCGGCUAACUACGUGCCAGCAGCCGCGGUAAUACGUAGGGUGCAAGCGUUAAUCGGAAUUACUGGGCGUAAAGCGUGCGCAGGCGGUUUGCUAAGACCGAUGUGAAAUCCCCGGGCUCAACCUGGGAACUGCAUUGGUGACUGGCAGGCUAGAGUAUGGCAGAGGGGGGUAGAAUUCCACGUGUAGCAGUGAAAUGCGUAGAGAUGUGGAGGAAUACCGAUGGCGAAGGCAGCCCCCUGGGCCAAAUACUGACGCUCAUGCACGAAAGCGUGGGGAGCAAAACAGGAUUAGAUACCCUGGUAGUCCACGCCCUAAAACGAUGUCAACUAGUUGUUGGGGAUUCAUUUCCUUAGUAACGUAGCUAACGCGUGAAGUUGACCGCC